UUCCAGAGGGGGACGAACAGUUGGAAACGACUGCUAAUACCGCAUACGAUCCUAAUCUCGGCAUCGAGGAAAGAUGAAAGGUGGCCUCUAUUUAUAAGCUAUCACUGAAGGAGGGGAUUGCGUCUGAUUAGCUAGUUGGAGGGGUAACGGCCCACCAAGGCGAUGAUCAGUAGCCGGUCUGAGAGGAUGAACGGCCACAUUGGGACUGAGACACGGCCCAGACUCCUACGGGAGGCAGCAUG
rnacentral:rRNA from 1 species